GUGAGGAAUUUUCCGCAAUGGGCGAAAGCCUGACGGAGCAAUGCCGCGUGAAGGAUGAAGGCCUAUGGGUUGUAAACUUCUUUUCUCAGAAAAGAAUUAUGACGGUAUCUGAGGAAUAAGCAUCGGCUAACUCUGUGCCAGCAGCCGCGGUAAGACAGAGGAUGCAAGCGUUAUCCGGAAUGAUUGGGCGUAAAGCGUCUGUAGGUUGUUUAAAAAGUAUUCUGUCAAAGAUUAGGGCUUAACCCUAGAUAGGAAGAAUAAACUUUUAAGCUAGAGUUUGGUAGAGGCAGAGGGAAUUCCCGGUGGAGCGGUGAAAUGCGUAGAUAUCGGGAGGAACACCAAAGGCGAAGGCACUCUGCUGGGCCAAUACUAACACUGAGAGACGAAAGCGAGGGGAGCAAAUGGGAUUAGAUACCCGAGUAGUCC
rnacentral:rRNA from 1 species